UUGAUUCUUUUGUCUCCCAACAGUUAUUUCACACUAAGAUGCUGAGUGCUAAGCUGUUUUCCUGUCAAAGAGAAACUAUGCUGAUAGAAUAGGUCUUUGUUCGCCUUUCUUUUCGGGAGUUGAGUGAUAGCAAUGUGAAAGAAGCAAGAAACAGGAGGAAGGAAGCAGGUUGAGGACUUCCUUCGGCUCUCACGCUGCUCUCUCUGCACCACACAAUUUAUGGGGAGCCGUGCUUUGUCUGAAGUGGAUUUAACCUGGGUUUUGGAGCCCACAGGUGGCAUUACUUAGGUUGGAAGAAAAGUGAUUUCUGAGCAAUGUACUCUAAACCUUGUGACUGUCUUGUCAGGACAACAGAGUUCAGCCUGUGCUCCAGGACAGGUGAGGGACUCUCCCGGGAGGAAAUGGAAGUUGCCACGGUUUGUCCUGAUAGAUAGGCAGACAGACCAGAGAGAAGUCCACCACAUGCUGAGGACAGAGACAGGUAGGGAUCUGAAUUAGGAGUCCAGUGUGGUGAUAAUUCAUCUGUGUCCCCCAAUAAAAUUUAUCUAAAGAUCAGAGGAUAAAGGUCAGUCACUAUUAGUAAAAACAGAAGUCAUGCAAUGUUAGCAAACACCCUUAAUCCAUCUGUAUCUCUGUGAGUUCAAGGUCACACUAGGGAAUAGAGCCAAGCAUGGUGACACACGCCUUUAAUCCCAGCAUCCACCAUAGAGUUCUGGAGGUCUGGGCAGACAGACAGGAAGUGAUGUAGCUUGGUGGAGAGAGGAAAUGAGUUAGCAGAAUAGAAAGCUAUAUGUCUGUUUAGACAGGAAGUCGCUCACUUUGGAAGCUGCAGCGAGGUGAGGUAAGGUUAGCUGGUGGCUGUUCCAAUUCUUCUGAUCUCUGUCAGAUUUUCACCCCUAUUUCUGGCUCCGUGUUUUUUAUUUAAUAAGACCGCUUAGAAAUUCGUCUACAAUCCAGCAUGUAGAGAUGGAGAAAUUCACAGCAAGAGUGGAGUCUGCACUGCUUGAGAGCCUGUGGGGAGGGAAGCAAAGACCUUUAAAUGAAAGUAAGAGGCUAGAAGCAUCAAAAGUAACCACUGUCUGCAGAAAUGGGAGAGAAAGCCUGGAGACCUUUCUUCUCUUAAGAGCUGUAGAUGAAGAAUGGCAUGCAUCCCUUCACAGCUCAGAGACCAGAACCAGUCACAUGGCCUCAGCAGUGAAGAAAGGAAGUGCUUAGACUUCUGAGAGCGUUUAGGGACCAUGAAAUAUUUCAGGUCUUUCUCUCGACAAUUUUUUUUUAGUUGGUGAGCCAAAAUAUAAAAUUAUGAGUUUAAAACUCUUGGCUGAGGGGAAGGUGGGUGUUAAGACUUUCUGGAAGGAAUGCUAGCUCCUCCAUUUUCUAGCUACGUAUAUUUAGUGUGUCUUCCUGGUUUUAUUGUCCCUCAGUCUCCUUCCUGUAAAAUGGGGGUAAUUAUUCUUUCUAUCUUUGGAACUUGUUCAAAAGCUAGGUAUGGUACUGGUUUUUGUUGUAAAUUCUUCUAGAGUGUAAUAGCAGAAACUGUGUUAUUCUCUUUUUAUCACUUUAUAAAGUGGGAAUGAGGUAAAUACAGGAAUUAUUCUGACUUUAACAUCUUGGUCCUGAGUGUCUUGGUGCUUAGUAAAAUUCUUUGUAUGGAAGAAAGGGUACUGGGGUUUGGGCAGCAGAAAAGAACGGGAAGUCAUCACUGCAGCUGCAGCUGCCAAUCGUCAUGUUUCUAAGAAGGGCUUGGGCCAGCUUAUUUCUAUAAAGACCUGGCCUUAUUGACACUGCACAGCUUUAUUCACCACUUACCAAGGGAAAAUAUCUUCACGUAGUGGCAAAAUCUGCCCACAAACGUGGGGAGUAUAGUCAACAUUUAAUCCUUAAUAUCACCCUCAGUAGGCGCAGAAAAAAAGAAAAAGAAAAAAAUACAGGACUUUAAAAAUAAAAAUGCCUUUUUCUUUUCAGUUAAAUAAAAAGUCUGGAGAAGCUAGAGAGGUCACCCAGAUGUGAAGAGUACUACUAGCUGCUCUUGGAUGUGGGUUUAGUUCCUAACUCCUACAUCCUGGCCUAUACCCAUCGGUAGCUCCAGCCUCAAGGAGCCCAACACUCCCUUCUGGCUUCCUUGGGUACCAGACACACAAAGAAUGCACAGGCAUACAUGCGGGCAAACACUCAAACACAUCAAAUAAAAAUGAACAGAUCUUUUUUUAAACAUUGAGAAAAGACUCACAUAAGACCAACCAACCAUUUUAAAGUACAUAAUUCAGCUGUUUUAAAUAUAGUCAAAUUUUAUGUAAAUACCAUCUUAAUCUUCUCUCAAAGCAUUUCAAAGUCUAAAACGAAGCCCUGUGUCCAUCACAUAGUCCUUCUUCAUUCUGCCUCCCAAAUCCCCCAAAAGCAAAACUUUUAUAAGUGAACCUAUAAAUUUACCUAUUCUGUAUAUUUAAUAAACAGUAAUCAUACCCUAUGUGACCUUUUGUGUCUGGAUUCCUCUUUUUAUAUUUUAAUUGUGUGUGUGUGUGACUAUGGUGUGUAUAUGUGACUGUGGUGUGUGGGUGACUAUGGUGUGUAUGUGUGACUGUGGUGUGUGUGUGUGACUAUGGUGUGUAUGUGUGACUGUGGUGUGUGUAUGUGUGUGUGAGAGACUGUGGUGUGUGUGUGUGACUAUGGUAUGUAUGUCUGACUGUGGUGUGUGUAUGUGUGUGUGUGAGACUGUGGUGCGUGUGUGUGUGUGUGUGCGCGCGUGCGCGCGCGCACACACGCACACGCGCGGCUAUGAUGUGUAUGUGUGACUGUGGUGUGUGUAUGUGUGCGUGUGAGACUGUGGGGUGUGUGUUACUGUGGUGUGUAUUUGUGUGUGUGUGCAUGUGUGUACAUGUACAUGUGUGCAGCACCCUAGGAGAACAGAAGAAGCCAUCAGAUUUGUGGAUCAGGCUGUGAGCCACCCAACAUGAAUUCUGAGAUUGUAACUCAGGUCCUCCACCAGAGCAUCAAGCACCACUGAACCAUUUCUUUAGUUCCCAUUGUGUCUGGAUUCUUUCACUUGCUAUGUUUCAAAAUUCAUGUUGUAGCAUGCAUCGUUCCUUUUGAUAGCUGAAUAAUACUCCAGUAUAAGGGCAUACUCUUUUCUCUAAUCUUUUCAUCAGUAGAGACAAAGUUGUUCCCACUUUUUGUCUACUGUGAAUAGUGCUUCCAUGAAUAUUCAUAAACAACAUUUUGUUUGAACAUCUGUUUUCAGUUCUUUGGGAUGGGAGCAGAAUUAAGGUCAUAUGAUAAUUAUGAAUUUAACGCUUUUGGUGGUGAUGCCCAGUUAUUUUCUGCAGUAGCUUCAUCAGUUUUGAUUCCCACUGGCAUUGUGCAGACAUUCUAAUUUCUCUACGUCCUUAUUACUACUAGUUAAUUUAUUUUAUUUAAUAACCAUCCUAGUUUAUGUGAGUUGGUAGCUCACUAGGGUUUUAAUUUCACAUUCCAUGUUCUUGUUGGACAUCAGUAUAUGUUCUUUGGAAGAAUAUCCAUUCAAAUCCUUUCCCUGUCUUUGUUUGGAUUUUUGUCUUUCUGUUGCAGAAAUGUAAGAGUUUAUUGUUAAUGUACAUUUGAUUCCAUGAACUUAUCAUAUAAAUAGUUUUCAAAUAUUCUUUCUAUUCUUCAAUUUGUUGUUCAGUUUCUUGAUAAUGUUUUAUAAUUCACAAAAAUUAAUAACAUAAUAAUAAUGUGCAUGGAGUAUAGCAUCCUAUUAAAACCAGUGCAUAGAUAAAACCAGAGCAAUUAUCAUAUCAUUUCUUUAUCAGUUUCAUGGUUGAAAUCUUCAAAUCCCUCUUUUAAAGUUCUUUAAAAGGCCCAGAAAGACAAAUGCAUCCACUUAUAAGUGAAUAUUAACCGUUAAGUAAAUGAUAAUCAAGCCAUAACCCACAGACCUAGAGAGGUUAGGUAAAGAGAGGGGCUCUAGAGGGGAUGCAUGCAUCUCCCUGGGAAGGAGAAAUAGAACAGAUUUUGUUGGUGGACUGGGGCUGGGGACAGGAGUUGGGGGAAUCAGGUGGAGGGGAAGGACAGAGGCAGAAAGUGAAAGGAGAGACAGCUGGAAUUUGUGGGGCAUUUGGGGGAGGCAUAGAAGCCUAGUGCAGUGGAAACUUCCUGGAAUCUGUGAGGAGGACCCUGGUGGGGACUCCUAGUAAUGGGGGAUACAGAGUCUGAAAGGGCCAUCUUUUCUAACCAAGCAAUGCUUCCAGUGGUGGACUAGGGUUACAAUAGGUCAAGUUGUUGGCCAAGGAGAUCCCCAAACAACCCAGGCUGAUGCUAGGACAGAGGGUCAUUCUCUGAAAACUUACAAUGGGACCCCAUUACUGAGGACAACAUCCACACAGCUUAUUGCAAAUAGAGAGGUCAAACUGAUGCCUGCAUGGAGCCUUCACUUCUACAUUCUAGUCUCUUUGGUUUAGGAAGACACUCUGCAGGCUACAAAAGGGGAAACCAGAACACCAACCCAGCCACAAAACUGUUAACCUACAAUCUGUCCUGUCUGAAAGAUGUGCUGGGGAAAUGGUGGAACAGAACUUGAGGGACUGGCUAACCAAUGUCUGGUUUAACUUGAGGUCCAUGCCAAGAGAGUCACCCCAUGCCCGACACUGCUUGGAUGGCCAGGAACAAGAGAAGAGAUAGACCAGAGACCUAGGGUAGAACCAAACACAACUGACAAAAGGAAAAAUAUUCAAUGAAAUAAUUCCUAAUGAUAUUCUACUGUACUCAUAGAUUGAUGCCUUGUUCAGCUGUCAUUAGAGAGACUUCCUCCGGCAGCAGAUGGGAGUGGGUGCAAAGACCCAUAGCCUAACAUUAUGUGAAGAGAGAUUCUAAAUUGGAGGUUUCCAUCCCAUCAAAACCUUACCCUGGAAGCUCAGGGGAUCCCAGGAAGAGCAGGUAGAAAGAUUGUGGGAGUCAGAGGGGAUGGAGGAAACCAAGAGAAUGUGACCCACUGAAUCAACUAAGCAGGGCUCACAGAGACUGCAUCAGGUCCUCUACAUAAAUGUUGUGCCUGUUAGCUUUGUCAUUUCGUGGGACUCCUAACAGUGGGAGUGGAUGUGUCUCUGACUCUUUCAUGUGCUCCUGGGACUCUUUUUCUCCUAUUAGAUUGCCUUGUCCAGCCUCAGUUUGAGGGCUUUUUGCCUUGUCUUAUUGUAUCUUUCUUUAUUGUGCUUGGUCGUUGUCUUCUGGAGGCUCAUUUCUUUCUGAAGAGAAAUGGAGGGGGAGUGGGUCUAGGGGAGAGGGAAGGUGGGGGGAAGAACUGGUAGAAAAGAAACUGUGGUCAGGAUGUAUUGUAUGAGAGAAGAAUCUAUUUUCAAUUUAAAAAAUUUAAGUAGCUUGCCUGCUUUUAAGAACUACACACUCCCCACUCUGUGCUAUUGAACCCUAGAUCUACUUUUUAUCUGACUG